rnacentral:rRNA from 1 species
GAUGAACGCUAGCUACAGGCUUAACACAUGCAAGUCGAGGGGAAACGAUAUUGGAAGCUUGCUUCUGAUAGGCGUCGACCGGCGCACGGGUGAGUAACGCGUAUCCAACCUGCCCAUCACUUGGGGAUAACCUUGCGAAAGUAAGACUAAUACCCAAUGACGUCUCUAGAAGACAUCUGAAGGAGAUUAAAGAUUUAUCGGUGAUGGAUGGGGAUGCGUCUGAUUAGCUUGUUGGCGGGGUAACGGCCCACCAAGGCGACGAUCAGUAGGGGUUCUGAGAGGAAGGCCCCCCACAUUGGAACUGAGACACGGUCCAAACUCCUACGGGAGGCAGCAGUGAGGAAUAUUGGUCAAUGGACGAGAGUCUGAACCAGCCAAGUAGCGUGCAGGAUGACGGCCCUAUGGGUUGUAAACUGCUUUUAUAAGGGAAUAAAGUGAGUCUCGUGAGACUUUUUGCAUGUACCUUAUGAAUAAGGACCGGCUAAUUCCGUGCCAG